UGGGAAUCCACUCAACUCUGUUUUGCACACAGAUAUAGUCUGAAUUUUUUUAAGCCAAGAUGGAUACUCUUUGAAAUGGUACUAAUACACAAGGGUUUGUGUUGAAGUAAUUUUCAGCUCAGGAUUAAUUUGAAAACCAGUGAUUCAGAUUAGUUCUGGGUUCAAGCUCACUCAUUGUGAAUGCAGGCUCUGACUCAUGAUCCUUGCUGGAUUUAACUGAGGCACCACAUAUGAUCUCAACCACCUGCAACAGCGGCUGUCUCUGCCGCAGAAUGGCAUGGGGCAAUCCAGUCUUCACAAGCAUGGCAAGAUCAGCUAGUUUGAAUCAAUGCAGAAAGUGCGUGGGGGCUUGUACUAAAGAGAGAACACAGCUCACACUGUUCUGGUGCUGCUGUGAGGUGGGAGCCCCGCGCCCAGCUGAGAGGACAGAUGGUGUGGCAGUGCUCCAGACUGCCUGGGUUGAAGCCAGCAAAUGCAGUGAGCCAUGGCCCCACAGGAUAAGGGCAAGCUCUUGUCCUCCCAUCCUCUCCUCCAGCAUUGUAGUGCAGCAAAGUGGCUGCUGCUCCUGCUGCUUCACUUAAUGCCAAUGAGGAGAGUCAGUAAGGAGACCACUGCCCGAAAUGCUGCAUGGUUUGAAGGAAGAAGACUGAGGUAGGCUGGAAAGUGUACCACAAGACACUGCACUCAUGAGAUUUGCCUUUCUCCCCUGCUGUCUGGAUGAACAUCCAUUCCACUCUCUCUUGCAAAACCUCAUGAGACCAGUCCAAUGCCUGCUAUGCAUUAUUUUGAGUCAAAGCCUGUGGGAAGACGUGAUGAUUUCUAUUAACUUAGCAGAUACUGCUGAGGGGGAAAAAAACUAAAAUGGACUUUUUAGCCACAAACAUUUUACAGGACUGUUCCUGUAAAAGUGACUGAAAGAUUUUGCCCCUAUUACAUGUUGCAGCUGUUUGAUACAUGCCUAACUCAUUCACUGUAAAAAAUCUAAAGCUUCUUCUUUUCAAGUACAAAACAAGCACAUUUGUUUAUUGCAAGGAAGUAAAAAAGGUGUGUUCAAAUUACAAUAAAAGAACCAACGUUUUGUUAAUGAAAAGAUAA
rnacentral:lncRNA from 1 species